AGUGAACGCUGGCGGUAGGCCUAACACAUGCAAGUCGAACGACAGCACAGUAAGAUCUUGCUUUUACGGGUGGCGAGUGGCGGACGGGUAACGCAUACAUCGCAAUCUACUUUUUCGUGGGGGAUAACGGAGAGAAACUUACACUACUACCGCAUACGUCCAACGGCUGAAAUCAGGGGUUCUUCGCACCUUGCGUGUUUGUAUUAGCCGAUGCCGGACUAGCUAGUUGGUAGGGUAAAGGCCCACCAAGGCAACGAAACGUAGCUGACCUGAGAGGAUGAUCGGCCACACUGGAACUGAGACACGGUCCAGACUCCUACGGGAGGCAGCAGUAGGGAAUAUUAGGCAAUGGGCGCAAGCCUGACGCAGCCAUGCCGCGUGGGUGAAGAAGGCCUUCGGGUCGUAAAGCCCUGUUAUUGGGAAAGAAAAGCAGCGGGAUAAUACACGGCUGUCUUGACGGUACCCAAAGAAUAAGCAACGGCUAACUACGUG
rnacentral:rRNA from 1 species